GAUGAAGAACGUAGCGAAAUGCGAUAAGUAAUGUGAAUUGCAGAAUUCAGUGAAUCAUCGAAUCUUUGAACGCAACUUGCGCUCUCUGGUAUUCCGGAGAGCAUGCCUGUUUGAGUGUCAUGAAACCUCAACCAUUAGGGUUUCUUAAUGGCUUGGAUUUGGAGGCUGCCAUUCUAAAUGGCUCCUCUUAAAGGAGUUAGCAAGUUUUACUAUUGCUAUCUGGCGUAAUAAGUUUCGCUGGAAUGGUAUUGUGAAGCGUGCUUCUAAUCGUCUUCGGACAAUUACUUUGACUCUGGCCUCAAAUCAGGUAGGACUACCCGCUGAACUUAAGCAUAUCAAUAAGCGGAGGA
rnacentral:misc_RNA from 1 species